CACUCUGGAGAGAGAUGCAAUGCAUCCGCCGAAGGGAUAACGAUCUCAGGCAAAAGGACAGAGGGGG
rnacentral:ncRNA from 1 species